GAUGAACGCUGGCGGCGUGCCUAAUACAUGCAAGUCGAGCGGAAAGAUGAGGAGCUUGCUGCGCUGACGUUAGGGGAAGGCGGGUGAAAAACACGUGGAUAACCUACCUAUAAGAGGGGGAAAACUUCGAGAAACCGGAGAUAAUAGCGGAUGAUAUAUUGAUCCGCGGGGGUCGAUAGUAAGAGACGGUGGUGGUGGAACUACUAGAGGGAUACGCGCCGCAUUGGCUAGUUGGUAAGGUAAAGGCUUACGAAGGGAAGGAUGCGUAGCCGAGCUGAUAGGGUGAUCGGCAACCUUGGAACUGAACCACCGUCCAGACUCCUACGGGAGGCAGCAGUCGCGAACCUUCCGCAACGGUCGAAAGCCUGACGCAGCAACGCCGCGCGAGUUAUGAAGAUCUCCGGAUCGUAAAACUCUGUUACUAGGUAAGAACAGAUGUGUAAGUAACUAUGCACGUCUUGACGGUACCUAAUCAGAAAGCCACGGCUAACUACGUG
rnacentral:rRNA from 1 species